UACGGGAGGCAGCAGUAGGGAAUAUUUGACAAUGGGCGCCAGUGGGAUCCAUUCACCCCCCGUGGCAGAAGAAGCCCUUCGAGUUGUAUAGACUUUUUAUGGGGAAAGAAAAGCAGACGUUUUUUACCGGGGCGCUUAGGCGGGACCCUAACAAAAAAAUCCGCGUAAAUUCUUUCCCCCACACCCGGUAAUAUAAAAGGGGCGAGGCUUUUUUUGAAAUUUUUGGGGUAAAAAGAGCGUAGGGGGGGUUUUUAAUUUAGUGUGGAAAACCCGGGGUCUACUUCCGGAUCACACUUGGUUGUGAACUACUGGAGUUUUAGGGAGGAUGGGUGAAUUCACGGGGUCACGGAGAGAAGUUAUGCAUAGUUGAGGAACACCACUCUGGAGGAGAAGCCUCUGGACUAACACUGACACUGAGGCACGAAAAGGUGGGGAGCAAACAAGACUAGAUACCCUGGUAGUCCACUCCCUAAAAGAUGCGAAAUUUA
rnacentral:rRNA from 1 species